UGUUUGAUAUUCCUUGGGGAGUUUAUGUUUCGGCCAUAAAUUUGGGAAGGUUUUCUCUAUCAA
rnacentral:tRNA from 1 species